GGGACACACUCCACCAGCUGAGCCAUGGCGUCUGCAAACUGAAUGAAAAGAGUUCAACCUCAAACUUUCAGCCCGCAGGUCCAACUAACCCCCCAAACCCCCCCGACUCCCCCAUGUUUGGUUUACAGAGUCCAGCGGGUCAAUCAACGAAUUAAACUUUAUUGAUAUAGCACCUUGCCCCCAGCUGUUCCUUUGGCCGCCUCUAGAACUGGAGCACAGUCCACCACUACAACAUCAUCAGCAUCAAAUACCACCGACCAAACCUCCAACACUGUAUUCCCAAUACUAGCUUCUACCGCUACUGCCACUGUUGAUUCUGCUACUGUUCCCUUUACUACUACUACUUCUUCUCCUACUACUACUGCUGAUGCUUCUUUUACUGUUCCUACUGACCAAACCAAUGCUACUGGACAAACCACUAUAACUUACCACCAAAAUACUACAACUACAACUAGCAGUGAUCUGACCAGUACCUUCUCCCAUACCUUAUCUUAUCCCAGUACUGCAACGACUUUAACCACUUCCGACUUCCUCAAUGCUACUACAACAACUACAACUAGCAGUGAUCUGACCAGUACCACCUCUUAUCCCAAUACUGCAAGUACUUUAGCCACUUAUUCAACUACCAGUGCAGAUCCACUUAGUCAACCAACGUUGACUUCUACUCCUCCUCCUCUUCUUACUCCUCCUCCUUCCACUAUUCCUCCUCCUCCUCCUCCUCCCACUACUAUUCUUACAACUCCUCCUCCUAAUACCACUACCACUACUCAUCUUCCUAAUACUACUACCGCUACUGAUCCUCCUAAUACU